AUCCCUUCUGUUUUGUCUUUUCCUCCCCUGCAAGUCUGGGACAAUUUUGGCUUGACUGUGAGCAUAAUUAAGAUUACAAAUUUCCAUCGGUCCUCACAUAUGGGAUAUGGUUAUAAACUGGGUGAGAGCUGCUGUGAUAAGACACCUGCAACAGUUAUCCUUGCUGGUAAUAAUGGAUGUCAAAGUCCAAUUUCUAUGCCCAUGACCCAGUGUACUAUUCUGCCUUUUGCUUCAGAGAGGGAGGAAAAACCAUCAAAGUUUGUAAUGAUUUGUUGGUAUCGUACUCUCAGAUCCAGUAACACUGGACCUCCGUUCUUUAUUGUGCUCCAGAGCACUCCAGCUUAUUUACAAAACGGCUCCUUUCUACUAUGUGCCCUUCCUGCCUGAACUCUCAGGGAUCACACAACAGCAUGUCCAUGUGGGACAAAAUCUUGGCUUUAAUGAAGUCAAAGGCAAAACAAUCAUUGAGAGCCUGACAGGAAACUGGCUUGCAAACCUAGUGAGGAGGACUUUAAAUUGGAUUGAAUGGGGACGCAGACAAAAGGCCACAGGCAAGUAAAAAGCAAGGUGACCCAGAUAAAGGCCAAGAAAGAGACUGUAACACGGGGAGACUUAACAGUAUUUUCAGAGAGGUAGUUAGUAUCUGAUUGAAGUGUGGCUCACAAAAAAGCUCCCUAUGAAAAGUUUAUGCAUCUCUCAUUCAGUUGUCUAUAAGGUGCCAGGUACCUUCUGCCAGUAUUUUCCAAGGAAAAUUAGCAAGACAAUUGUCUAGUCAUCUACAUUAUUUAUAUAAUAAUGCAAGGAGCACAGGGAAUAAUUAGGAAUAAUUGGAAGUUCCAGUACGGUCAGAGCAGUAUGAUUUCAUUCAGAUUUCUGAGACUUGGUGGGAUAAUUCACAUGACCAGAGAUGGAUUGGCAUAAGUCGCUCAGGAAGAUCAGGCAGAGGAAUAAAAGGAAG